rnacentral:rRNA from 1 species
UACGUAGGGGGCAAGCGUUGUCCGGAAUCAUUGGGCGUAAAGCGCGUGUAGGCGGCUCGAUAAGUCCGCUGUGAAAGUCCAGGGCUCAACCCUGGAAUGCCGGUAGAUACUGUCGGGCUCGAGUCCGGAAGAGGCGAGUGGAAUUCCUGGUGUAGCGGUGAAAUGCGCAGAUAUCAGGAGGAACACCGAUGGCGAAGGCAGCUCGCUGGGACGGUACUGACGCUGAGACGCGAAAGCGUGGGGAGCAAACAGG